UAUUAAAAAUUUCAUUCAUUUUUGUUGUUAAAAACAAAUGUGAAUGACGAAAUAACCAGAUAACUGCAUGUGACGUGUCACAUGUACCUCGUGUUGAUUACAUGGACCAAUUUUUAAUAAUAACAAUGGAUAAUUUUUUUAACA
rnacentral:pre_miRNA from 1 species